rnacentral:rRNA from 1 species
CACGUAGGCACCAAGCGUUGUCCGGAUUUAUUGGGCGUAAAGAGCUCGUAGGCGGUUCAGUAAGUCGGGUGUGAAAACUGGAGGCUCAACCUUCAGACGUCGACCCAAACCCCCUGGCUAGAGUCCGGAAGAGGAGAGUGGAAUUCCUGGUGUAGCGGUGAAAUGCGCAGAUAUCAGGAAGAACACCCGUGGCGAAGGCGGCUCUCUGGGACGGUACUGACGCUGAGACGCGAAAGCGUGGGGAGCGAACAGG